rnacentral:tRNA from 1 species
GGGGGCGUGGCGAAAUGGUAGACGCGGUAGACUCAAACUCUGCUUCCGCAAGGAGUGCCGGUUCGAUCCCGGCCGCCCCUACCA